GCCGCCUUAGCUCAGUGGUAGAGCAGCUGUUUUGUAAACAGCUGGUCGGAGGUUCGAAUCCCUCAGGCGGCUCCA
rnacentral:tRNA from 1 species